GGCGGGGGCUAAAACCGAGCCGGGGAGCACGCGCCCGCCCAGCCAGGUCCCUGCUCGGCGUCCGGGGCCGCUCCCAGCGCCGUGCGAUCGUCGGGGGCCGCCUCUCCUCAGCACCCCCCAGCAGUGGCACGUCCCUGUGGGCGCCGGGGCACGCGUGACAGCGAGCGCAUUGUGACACGUUGCCCUGCAGAACAUCAGGAGGGCUGCGCCCCGGGCAGAGCAGUCGGUGCAGAGCGACGGCGCCGAGAGGAGGUGGAGAGCGGAGGAGAGGAGAGCAAAGCCAGAAAGAGCCAGAAAGAGCAAUCCCAGCCCACAGCAUGGUUGGGGGUCGUUCCAGUUCUGUCUACAGGCUGCCAGCAGUGAGCGGUAGGCAGAAGUCUUGUGGCGUGCCUGGGGCCAGGCCUGGCCUCCCCUCAGUGCUGUGGCUGCGCAUGGCUGCGAUGGGUGGCAGAGAGCGUGGCCGUGUCCGUGUCCAUGUCUGUGCGAAGCCAUGGCGGAGGAGUUGCGGGAGUCACUGUUGGCAGCCACAGCUCAAUUGGCCGCAACGCGGCAGGAGGUGAUGGAGAUCAGGAGGCGGCGUGUGCAGCUGGAGCGGGCCUUGAAGGAGCGGCAGGAAAUCAACGAGGUACUGAGGGCGGGAGGGGAGUGGAGGGGAGCCCCCUCUGAGCAGGCCCGGCGCAGGCUCUUGACCGGACCCUUUCCUUCUCCAGGCCCUGCUGCAGGAAAUUGAGGAUCUCCGAGCGGCUCAGCGGAGCCGCAGGAGUCGCCCUGCGCGGUGAGUGAGGCCCAGCACAAGCCAGGCCUGAGGCAGAGGGGAGUUGGGAUCCCGGCCCCCCAGGCAGCUGUGGCCCCGGCUGGGGCUCGGGAAGGCCGGGCCCGUGCAGGGCUGGCACCGAGAGGCGCCCGUCCCAGCUCCAGCAGAGGCCGGGCAGCGGCUUCGGGUCCCUGCGGCCGCCCUGGGGGGAGAGGUCCCGCUGCCGGCCGAGGCCUCUUCUCACACGCCCAACUCCC
rnacentral:lncRNA from 1 species